rnacentral:rRNA from 1 species
UACGUAUGGUGCAAGCGUUAUCCGGAUUUACUGGGUGUAAAGGGAGCGUAGGUGGUUUGGUAAGUCAGGAGUGAAAUGCCGGGGCUCAACCCCGGAGCUGCUCUUGAAACUGCUAAACUGGAGUGCAGGAGGGGUAAGAGGAAUUCCUAGUGUAGCGGUGAAAUGCGUAGAUAUUAGGAGGAACACCGGUGGCGAAGGCGGCUUACUGGACUGUAACUGACACUGAGGCUCGAAAGCGUGGGGAGCAAAC